CCUUGACCUCAAAUCGGGUGAGACUACCCGCUGAACUUAAGCAUAUCAAUAAGCGGAGGAAAAGAAACUAACAAGGAUUCCCCUAGUAACUGCGAGUGAAGCGGGAAAAGCUCAAAUUUAAAAUCUGGUGGCUCUACUGCCAUCCGAGUUGUAAUUUAGAGAAGCGUCUUCCGCGCUGGACCGUGUACGAGUCCCUAUG
rnacentral:rRNA from 1 species